GGACCGAGAGAUAGACUGAGAUAGAUAGGUGGAUAGAUAGGGGAAGACGGAGGAAGAGGACAACAUUCGCAUUGAUAAUCUAAUUUCUUUAUAUGUCAGUUACCAGGGAUGUAUGCUUAUUCUUCCACCUGCCAAACAUCAUCAAGUAACAGUUGGUUCUAAGGAUUUUGAAGAGUUUACCUCGAUUCACAAUAGGCCUGAAGGUGUACAGACUACACAGGCAUCAUAUUGCCAUCACACCCAUUGAUACUACACGACUUCGGCUUCACAGCUGUCACGUUCAAUGCAAAUUUCCAAGCAGACUGCCCCUCACUGAGAAUGACAGGUCAAAUUGAUAACCCAAGGCAGUGUUGAUGUGAAGAAGAAGCGACAUUGUCUUUGGUUACUGGAUAAGCUCCCUUGUUAGCAUCUCAUAAAACGAUUGAAAUGACCUAAUUUGCGUAAUUACUGGAUUUUCCUGUCAUUAAUAAUUUACCGCAGAAGAUUAUGAAUGAUGGAUUGAAACGAAAGCUGACAGGAUGUUGACACGUGACCCAACAAUGAAAAACAUUAUCCGUUUUUAUAAUACCACUCUUUCAUUUUUUACUCUCAUGUUUUAUUCAUAAUCCCAUCUUCUUUUGUAACUGUUUACAGUAGGUUACUCUGGCCAUCCAUUUUGUCCUGAUUUUCAGUACAAUACUGUAUUCUGCGGUGAGGUAGUUAACAAUGUAUUGUAAAUAUUUGUAUUGUACAUAUUAUGUAUUGUACAUACUAUGUAUUGUACAGUCAUAAUGUAUAAGAUAGAAAAAAAUGAUCUCAAAAUGGCAAGCAUCAUUUUAUUAUGUAAUUAAAAAUGUUAUUACUAUUGUAUUAUUUAGUUUUUCAGUAUAUACUGGUAUUUAAGUUUUAUUUCUUAUUAAUUAAAAUUUUUGAAAGAUUUGCCUACUGUAUGCUAGGGCAAGCAGUCAACAAUUAUGUAUUGUACAUUCAUGUAUAAAAAAAGAAAAAAUGAUAAUCUCAAAAUGGCAAGCAUCAUUUUAAAGUAUAAUUAAAAAUGUUAUCUAUUUGUUUUUUUAUUAAUUAUUUAAUUUUUUUAUUUAUUAAUUGAAAUUUUUAAAAGAUUUGUUUAUUUCAUCCUCUUUUUCUUAAAUUAUAUUUUACUUUUUAAUUGUAUUUUCUGAAGUACUUUUUAAAUCAGUACAGUUAGUACUUCAGAUGAAUGAAUAGGCUACUUAAGUAGCAAAAAUCUUUUAGUUAAUUAUAGUAUUUGAAUACAUUAUCUUUGUAGAUAAUUGUUUUCUGUUUAUAUACUACCUGAGAAAGACAUAGCAGUGUAAAAAUGUCAUCAUUCUUUAGUGCUGUUCCUUUACCUAUCUUUUUACAAUAUAUAUACCUUGUAUAAACUAUAGGGAUAUACCCUAUUAUAUAUACCCACAUGUUCAUAUUUGCUUUGAGUUCAGCUUUCUUAAUCAUAGGUCAGAAAUAAAUGUUUCUA